rnacentral:rRNA from 1 species
AACGCGAAGAACCUUACCUAAGCUUGACAUCCUUUUGACCUCUCCCUAAUCGGAGAUUUCCCUUCGGGGACAAAAGUGACAGGUGGUGCAUGGUUGUCGUCAGCUCGUGUCGUGAGAUGUUGGGUUAAGUCCCGCAACGAGCGCAACCCUUGUCUUUAGUUGCCAGCAUUAAGUUGGGCACUCUAGAGGGACUGCCAGGGAUAACCUGGAGGAAGGUGGGGAUGACGUCAAAUCAUCAUGCCCCUUAUGCUUAGGGCUACACACGUGCUACAAUGGGUGGUACAGAGGGUUGCCAAGCCGUGAGGCGGAGCUAAUCCCUUAAAGCCAUUCUCAGUUCGGAUUGUAGGCUGAAACUCGCCUACAUGAAGCUGGAGUUACUAGUAAUCGCAGAUCAGAAUGCUGCGGUGAAUGCGUUCCAGGGUCUUGUACACACCG